rnacentral:tmRNA from 1 species
GGGGGUGACAUGGCUUCGACGUGGGUCGCGAAACUCCGGGUGCAUGCCGAGGAACAGAUAACCUCGUAAAUCCAGCUGUAAAACUUAUAGUUGCCAACGACGACAACUACGCACUAGCUGCUUAAAAACCAGUAAAUGCCUUCUGCCCGGAUCGUGCCUGUGC